rnacentral:lncRNA from 1 species
UGUGGAGAACAUCGGUACAAGAACAAGCUACAUGAAGAGUCCCGAGUGUUCCGAAUGGCAAGCGAUGGACUAAUGAGUUGUUACAAAUCGGCCUAGCUGUACGGACAUGAUCCUGAUGUAAAGGACAACUAACAACUCCAACUGUAGAAGCUAUACGGCGCCAUACAAGGUAGUUAUAGCUAUAUAAUAAGUAUAGUAAUAUCACAACAAUUGGUGUCAGAAGUCGGCAAUGAAUUUACUGGAAGUUCUUUGUUUUGACGUUUGUUGGCGCCGAAUUUAAGUUUUGAAAGGUGGAAAACAUAUUAAGAAUAAGGUGGAUAGAUUGAUUCACUUUAUUUAUUUGCUUUAGAAGACUAAUUAUUGGUUGGCUAUUAUUACUGAACAGAAGAUACAUUCAUUUCAGAUUUC